GACGAACGCUGGCGGCGUGCCUAAUACAUGCAAGUCGAGCGAGCUUGCCUAGAUGAAUUUGGUGCUUGCACCAAAUGAAACUAGAUACAAGCGAGCGGCGGACGGGUGAGUAACACGUGGGUAACCUGCCCAAGAGACUGGGAUAACACCUGGAAACAGAUGCUAAUACCGGAUAACAACACUAGACGCAUGUCUAGAGUUUAAAAGAUGGUUCUGCUAUCACUCUUGGAUGGACCUGCGGUGCAUUAGCUAGUUGGUAAGGUAACGGCUUACCAAGGCAAUGAUGCAUAGCCGAGUUGAGAGACUGAUCGGCCACAUUGGGACUGAGACACGGCCCAAACUCCUACGGGAGGCAGCAGUAGGGAAUCUUCCACAAUGGACGCAAGUCUGAUGGAGCAACGCCGCGUGAGUGAAGAAGGGUUUCGGCUCGUAAAGCUCUGUUGGUAGUGAAGAAAGAUAGAGGUAGUAACUGGCCUUUAUUUGACGGUAAUUACUAGAAA
rnacentral:rRNA from 1 species